UACGUAGGGGGCAAGCGUUGUCCGGAAUUAUUGGGCGUAAAGAGCGCGUAGGCGGUCCGAUAAGUCGGCUGUGAAAGUCAAGGGCUCAACCCUUGAAAGCCGGCCGAUACUGUCGGACUAGAGUCCGGAAGAGGCGAGUGGAAUUCCCGGUGUAGCGGUGAAAUGCGCAGAUAUCGGGAGGAACACCAAUGGCGAAGGCAGCUCGCUGGGACGGUACUGACGCUGAGGCGCGAAAGCUAGGGGAGCAAACGGG
rnacentral:rRNA from 1 species